UACAGAGGUCUCAAGCAUUGUUCGGAUUCAUUGGGCGUAAAGGGUGCGUAGGCGGCGCGGUAAGUCGGGUGUGAAAUCUCGGAGCUUAACUCCGAAACUGCAUUUGAUACUGCCGUGCUUGAGGACUGGAGAGGAGACUGGAAUUUACGGUGUAGCGGUGAAAUGCGUAGAUAUCGUAAGGAAGACCAGUGGCGAAGGCGGGUCUCUGGACAGUUCCUGACGCUGAGGCACGAAGGUCAGGGGAGCAAACAGG
rnacentral:rRNA from 1 species